GAGUUUGAUCCUGGCUCAGAACGAACGCUGGCGGCGCGCCUAAUACAUGCAAGUCGAACGAGAAUGUGUAGCAAUACACAUGUACAGUGGCGAACGGGUGAGGAAUACAUGGGUAACCUACCCUCGAGUGGGGAAUAACUAGCCGAAAGGUUAGCUAAUACCGCGUACGCUUCCCGGACUGCGGUUCGGGAAGGAAAGCGAUACCGUGGGUAUCGCGCUCUUGGAUGGGCUCAUGCCCUAUCAGCUUGUUGGUGAGGUAACGGCUCACCAAGGCUUCGACGGGUAGCUGAUCUGAGAGGAUGAUCAGCCACACUGGCACUGCGACACGGGCCAGACUCCUACGGGAGGCAGCAGUAAGGAAUAUUGCGCAAUGGGGGCAACCCUGACGCAGCCAUGCCGCGUGUGUGAAGAAGGCCUUCGGGUUGUAAAGCACUUUAAGUGGGGAAGAAAAGUACACCGUUAAUAGCGGUGUGCCCUGACAUUACCCACAGAAUAAGCACCGGCUAACUCCGUGCCAGCAGCCGCGGUAAUACGGAGGGUGCGAGCGUUAAUCGGAAUUACUGGGCGUAAAGCGCGCGUAGGCGGUUUGUUAAGUCAGCUGUGAAAGCCCCGGGCUCAACCUGGGAACUGCAGUUGAUACUGGCCGACUGGAGUGCGAGAGAGGGAGGUAGAAUUCCAUGUGUAGCGGUGAAAUGCGUAGAUAUAUGGAGGAAUACCGGUGGCGAAGGCGGCCUCCUGGCUCGACACUGACGCUGAGGUGCGAAAGCGUGGGGAUCAAACAGGAUUAGAUACCCUGGUAGUCCACGCCGUAAACGAUGUCUACUAGCCGUUGGGAGACUUGAUUUCUUAGUGGCGCAGCUAACGCAAUAAGUAGACCGCCUGGGGAGUACGGCCGCAAGGUUAAAACUCAAAUGAAUUGACGGGGGCCCGCACAAGCGGUGGAGCAUGUGGUUUAAUUCGAUGCAACGCGAAGAACCUUACCAGGUCUUGACAUCCAGAGAACUUUCCAGAGAUGGAUUGGUGCCUUCGGGAGCUCUGAGACAGGUGCUGCAUGGCUGUCGUCAGCUCGUGUCGUGAGAUGUUGGGUUAAGUCCCGUAACGAGCGCAACCCUUGUCCUUAGUUGCCAGCGCGUAAUGGCGGGAACUCUAAGGAGACUGCCGGUGACAAACCGGAGGAAGGUGGGGACGACGUCAAGUCAUCAUGGCCCUUACGACCUGGGCUACACACGUGCUACAAUGGAACGCACAGAGGGCAGCAAAGGCGCGAGCUGGAGCGAAUCCCACAAAACGUUUCGUAGUCCGGAUCGGAGUCUGCAACUCGACUCCGUGAAGUCGGAAUCGCUAGUAAUCGCGGAUCAGAAUGCCGCGGUGAUACGUUCCCGGGCCUGCACACAC
rnacentral:rRNA from 1 species